AAGAACUUUGAAAAGAGAGUUAAAUAGUACCUGAAAUGGUUUGCAAGGAAGCUAUGUAUGCUAGUGGUACCCGCAUUUCAUCCUGUUCUGUCUCGGCAGUUCACUGUGUAUGUGUGGUAGUUCAGCAUGGGCUCGUUGCGCGGGAAACUUGGUUACCGCGCAGUGGGCCGAGGCUUGAAUCGCAGUAUGGAGGGCCAAUGGCACUGUCUGUUUUGAAGGCUGGCGAGCAUGCUCGGCACCAGAUGGCAGACUUUUUCCAGAAACUCUUGCAGUGCGGUCGAGAUGCUGAGGAAAUGGCAUUCAUUAUCCCGUCUUGAAACACGGACCAAGG
rnacentral:rRNA from 1 species